CCUACGGGUGGCAGCAGUGAGGAAUAUUGGUCAAUGGACGAGAGUCUGAACCAGCCAAGUAGCGUGAAGGAUGACUGCCCUAUGGGUUGUAAACUUCUUUUAUAUGGGAAUAAAAUGUUCCACGUGUGGGAUUUUGUAUGUACCAUAUGCAUAAGGAUCGGCUAACUCCGUGCCAGCAGCCGCGGUAAUACGGAGGAUCCGAGCGUUAUCCGGAUUUAUUGGGUUUAAAGGGAGCGUAGGUGGAUUGUUAAGUCAGUUGUGAAAGUUUGCGGCUCAACCGUAAAAUUGCAGUUGAAACUGGCAGUCUUGAGUACAGGAGAGGUGGGCGGAAUUCGUGGUGUAGCGGUGAAAUGCUUAGAUAUGACGAAGAACUCCGAUUGCGAAGGCAGUUCACUGGACUGCAACUGACACUGAGGCUCGAAAGUGUGGGUAUCAAACAGGAUUAGAUACCCGUGUAGUC
rnacentral:rRNA from 1 species